CAAAAAGCUACCUUCCUGUUUGAGAAUUCAGCAUGGACCAGAUUCUGCUUUCCCUUCUAUUUCUCAACUUCUGGGCAGGUGUGGCUCCUCAGGUUGGAUUGAUUCAACCACCUUCCCAGUCUGCAUCUCCUGGGAACACAAUAAAGCUUUCCUGCCACCUGAUGAAUGGGUAUGAAGAAUACGCGGUCUCAUGGUACCAGCAGAGAGUGGGGCAGGCUCCACGGCUUGUCCUGACUCCCAACUACUCCAGAGGUCAUGGCAUCCCAAAUCGGUUCUCUGGCUCCAAAUCGGGUAGCACAUACUAUUUAAUCAUCACAAAUGUCCAACCAGAGGAUGAGGCCACCUAUUACUGUGGUGGAAGCUACGGCUUUGCAUAAGACCCAGUGAUGUAGUCAAAUGGAGAAGUGAAGCUGAUGCUGUUCUCAGCUUUAAGAAGAAAGGAGAUGUUUACAAACUAUAAGAAGUAAGUUCUUGAUUCUCCAUGAAGGAUUUGCAAGUUGGAACUUCUGUACAUUUUCUAAGGGUGCCAAGCUUCCACAUCUAUGCUUAUUUGCCUGGAAGUAAAGUCCUUUUAAUGGAGACAGACUGUAUUUCAAGUAAACAUGGAAUUGCACUGUAAAAAUGCCACUGAAAAGAGCUUUUUGAAGACCUCAAGACCACCUGUGUUUUGCUAGAGCAAUAAAGCCCAUCAAUUUACAUCUGUGAAAGGUUUUAUGGUGUUUUGUCAGUCUGGAAUUUCAUAACUUCAAACUCAGAUGCGAUUGUUCAUGUUUGCCAUGAUACAGAAUAAAAGCACAAAGACUCA